AUCUCGCCUCUCUUAAGCUCACAAACUAAGAACUCUCUAGACACUCCUCACAAUACUUAAGCUAAGUUUAGUGAUUUACACACUACAUAUUUUCCAUUGGAGAUCUACCUCUACUGCUUUUUUUUUUUCUUUUUUUUUUCUUUUUUUUUUUUUUUUAAGUUAGGGUUCUUUCCUAGCUAAUCUCUGAGAAGCAAUCCAGAAAUUCCAACUGUCUGAGUGGUUUUGUCAGGUAUAUUAGAUUGAAGAAGAUGAAUAUGGCCUACCAAAUCUGGAAAAUUCAAGACGCAGGCUGGGUUGAUGAUGAUUUUUCUACAGUUCAUCGGGAUGGAGGGACCCGACCCGGGGCAAACUCCCGGUCUGCAGCCAUGGCGAAUACUUAUUAAGUUCUCUACUAUGGACCGCAGAAUGCUUACCUAACACUGAGUAGGAGUCUGAAUAUGGAUCUUUGAAAUUAUCACGUGUAUCUUUAAAUUGAAGUUCAUGUACCCCAAUCACAAUGAGCCUGGGUUGCUACUAUCCAAUCACUUAUCCAUCUCAGAACGAUUGAAUUGCAAGUAGAAAACUGUAGUUUUUGUUUCAAUUUCUAUUGUUUGUACUUUGAAGAUAUACUAUUAGA